rnacentral:rRNA from 1 species
ACCAGACUCCUACGGGAGGCAGCAGUGGGGGAUAUUGCACAAUGGGGGGAACCCUGAUGCAGCGACGCCGCGUGGGUGAAGAAGCGCCUCGGCGCGUAAAGCCCUGUCAGCAGGGAAGAAAAUGACGGUACCUGAAGAAGAAGCCCCGGCUAACUACGUGCCAGCAGCCGCGGUAAUACGUAGGGGGCAAGCGUUAUCCGGAUUUACUGGGUGUAAAGGGAGCGUAGACGGCAGUGCAAGUCCGGAGUGAAAGCCCGGGGCUCAACCCUGGGACUGCUCUGGAAACUGUAAAGCUGGAGUGCCGGAGAGGUAGGCGGAAUUCCUAGUGUAGCGGUGAAAUGCGUAGAUAUUAGGAGGAACACCAGUGGCGAAGGCGGCCUACUGGACGGUGACUGACGCUGAGGCUCGAAAGCGUGGGGAGCAAACAGGAUUAGAUACCCCCGUAU